rnacentral:lncRNA from 1 species
CGAGAGCGGAUCGGCAGAGGAUCGCGGUAUGGGCUUAGCGCCCUAGUGCUAGUUGGUAGUUUACUUUCCUAUUGCAUUAGUUGUUACCCUAUAUGUUGAGAGUAGAUGAUGUAUAGGUGUGAGGCUAUUUCGAGAUGAAUGUAAACUUUAAGUUUAUGUUGUAUUUUGGAAGAAUGUAAAGUUAAUUAAAUGUAUCAAGUUGAAUGGUUGUAAUAGAAUAAUUAAGUAUCUCUCUUUUGUUUCACUUGUAUGUUUAUUACUCGUGACGCUUGCUCUUGUAAUGUUCAGCACUGUUUGUGCUCUCGCUGUUGUUGCAUGAUCAUGUAUGUAUUCAAGUUGAUUUCCUGGGGACUUGUUGUACAUGAUCUCGUUGUUUAGCCUUGGGCGGACAGGGGAGGUGCUAUCCGUUCGGCGUCCGUCGCCGUGCCCGAACCGUGCCAAAUUGGUAGCGGUUUCAGGGCGGGGGGGCGUGACAGUAGGGGUCUAGGUUCUCAUGCAUACUAGAUCAUGGAUCAAUCAUCAAGAUGUAUAGCUACUAGCAUGCAAAUAUAAGCAAUAACCAUAAUCAUCUUCCCCGACAGUGACAAGAGGAAGAUGCGGGAAGAUUUCCGCAAGUUGAAGCAAGGUAACCGCACGGUUCGGGAGUACGAGCGAGCGCGAAGAUAUCGCCAUUUGAGAUGCUAUAGGGUUAAAGCUAACCCAACAAAAAUUAAGCGGCGACAAGACUAGCACAAGAGCGCGUCUCGGAGUGUUUUCGGCAUCACCUAAGGUGGGGGAGUGCCAUCCCGAAGUCAUCGGGCUACUUUUUAUGUCUAAGUUUAAAUAUGAUCAAGUUGCAUAUUGUGCAUGUUCCUAUAGGGUUAAAGAUUAAUUAUAUUGCUCCAAUUUGCAUGCUAGUAGCUAUAGAUAUGGUUGAUUGAAUGUACGAUAAACUAGUAUGCAUGUGAUUAAUUGAUAGAGUCAAACGAUGAGAUUUAACCCUAUAUAAGAUGAUUAGAGCUUAUAAUGUUAAAGAUCUAACAUUGUUGAUGAGUCUAAAUGACGAGUGGCAUCUAGUUAGAAAACUAUGAUUGAGUGGCAUAUGUUUGUUGUUUACUUAAGAUGAUCAUAUUAGUGUAGUUGAGACACUAUGAGAUUGGGUACAAGAACUUGUUGAUCUAUGCUAAGAUUACCCUCAAAGGGUUGUUGUUGCUCGUGAGUUGAUCAUGCUCUCACAUUGCCUGUCUGCGCUUGGUGGGGUCGCUCCCCUCAAGUUGUGCUCUCCGGAGUUUGGUCACUAGAGAGGCAGCCGUGCUUGCUGCUCGGAUAGCCGCUUGUUAUCCGCAGGCGUUCUCGGGGAUUGUCCAGCUAGGCAUCCCUCGGAGGUUUUCAUGUGAGCUUCGCUUGUGAAUUUUGUGUUCACUUGGAGAUUGGGUUACCCAUGAGUCUUACCCAUGAUUGAUAUUCAUAGUAGCUAUUCAUUGUUCAUAUCAGCUUAUUUGCUUUCCUAGUAGUACGUUUUAUAGCUUACUAUGAUAGCUGUUGUAGAUGUUUAUAGUAGUUGCUCACCCUAUAUUUAUUGUUCAUGCAUCCAUGACUCCAGAUUGAGGCAUAGCUUAAUAUAGUUGUUUUACAUAUCUGCUUUCGGUUCAGUUUAGCGUUUUAUAUAUCUCAUAUAUAUAUCUCUCUAUGCCUGCUUAAGACCUAGUGGGUAGAUCGGCGGAGUCGGCGGCCGAACCCACUGGGAACUAUUCGUAGUUCUCACCCCCGUGUGGUUUUGGGGGUACAGGUACACAGGACAGCAGGCCUACAUCGAUGGAUCGCGGUAAGUCUUGGUAGAUAGCUUACUUUACCUACUUGCAUUAGCUCUACCCUGUACCUAUGCUUUUACAUUCCCUGUCCGCCCAAGGCUCAACGACGAGAUCAUGUACAACAAGUCCCCAGGAAAUCAACUUGAAUACAUACAUGAUCAUGCAACAACAGCGAGAGCACAAACAGUGCUGAACAUUACAAGAGCAAGCGUCACAAGUAGUAGACAUACAAGUGAAACAAAAGAGAUACUUAGCUAUUCUAUUACAACCAUUCAACUUGAUACAUUUAAUUACAACUUGCAUUCUUUUCCAAAAUAUGAAUAUAAGCUUACAUUCUUUAAAAGAUAAACAUUAGCUUACAUUUACCUCAAAGUACCUCACAUCCUAUACAUCAUCUACUCUCAAUACAUGUAUAGGGUAACUCUAAUGCAAAAUAGGAAAGUAAACUACCAACUAGCACUAGGGCGCUAAGCCCAUACCGCGAUC